rnacentral:rRNA from 1 species
ACUCAAAUGAAUAGACGGGGACCCGCACAACCGGUGGAGCGUGUGGUUCAAUUCGAGACGAAACGAAGAACCUCACCAGGGCUUGACAUGGUACCGUUUAUUUCCCAAGAAACUGGGAGAAAUCCGCAAGGAUGGUACUGCAGGUGCUGCAUGGCUGUCGUCAGCUCGUGCCGUGAGGUGUUCCCUUAAGUGGGGAAACGAGCGCAACCCCUAUCUAAUGUUAAAUCUUCAUUAGAGACGGUCCCGAUUUAGGGAAGGAAGGAGGGGAAGACGUCAAGUCAGCACGGCCCUUAUGCCCUGGGCUACACACACACUACAAUGGCGAAAAACAAUGGGUAGCGAGCGAGUAAUUGUAAGCAGAUCCCUGAAAUUUCGCCUCAGUUCAGAUUGAGGGCUGAAACUCGCCCUCAUGAAGUCGGAAUCGGUAGUAAUCGCGGAUCAGCAAGCCGCGGUGAAUACGUUCUCGGGUCUUGCACACACCGCCCGU